GUGACGGCUCCAAACUGCUCACCAGGAUCUCCACGGAUGUUGCUGCGCGAGGCACUUUUUCCGGGGUAAUGAAGCAAUGCGAUGCUCCAGAGUCAAACAACACAUGGGCCUCUACACCGCCCACUAAUAAAGUCCCUACAAAAACCUUAUGUGUUAAGAAUCCUAACAUUCAUCACAAAACAAUGAUUUCCAAAACAACAGAAAUAAUUCACAAAGUCUGAGUCUAAGAAAUCAUACCAGUGAUCGCUCUGUUGCUGAUACUGCUUAUCUCACGCGUAGUGUAGCCUUGUGGUGCCGCUACAAUCUGUGCUAACUGCUGCACUCCCUGCUGCAGCGCCGGCUGUACUACUGCCACUGCCAUCGGCUGCAACUUAGGACAAUUCGGCCUGAAAUGUCCCCUCUCCUUGUACUGGUAGCACUCUCUCGUCUCAGGUCGCUGCGUGCAAUCCACUACCUUGUGGUCAAGGCUCCCACAAGAAAAACAUCUUGCACGACCACCCUGUCCAGCUCCGGAAGGAUGAUCCCACUUCCUCUUCUGCCCCUGCUCAGGCUUGCCGCCCUUGCUAGGUGCCACCUGCUGCUGGGUCUUCUUUGGCUGUACCGCUGGACUCACUGCCACCACCUGCCUCUGAAGGUCCUCCUCUACCUCAGCAGUCGUCUCCAUCAGUGCCGCCUUCGUGACGUACUACGACACUCUACACCGCACCCUCAAAUCCGGUCGUAGUCCCCUCAAGAACCUCCUCAUCUGGGCCUGGUCAUCCUCCAUGCCCCGACCCGCAUACACCAAGAGUUGGUUAAACUCCCGGUCAUACUCCCAAACCGACCGCUCACCCUGUGUCAGCUUAAGAAAACGCGCCUCCAUACGGUCGAGCGCCUCCUGCGGAAAGUACUUGGCAUUAAACUCAGCCACAAAAUCUGUCCAAGACAUAUCCGCCUACCUCGUCCUGGCAGUCACACUCCGCCACCACAAAUGUGCAUCCCCCUCUAAAAAAUGCACUGCCAGAUCCACCCGAUUUUCUGCCGGGCAUCUGCUCGAACCGAAGUUACGCUCAACCCGCGACCUCCAACUGUAGGCCUCCUCUGGACUAGUACCACCAGAAAAAUACCCGCUGCCAAUCCUCUGCAACUGCUCCAUCAUCCUCAAAUAAGAUGGAACCUCCUCAGCAACCGCAGUCCUCUGCUGCACCUCCGCCACUCGUGGCGCAACUGGAGCCUCCACUGGUACCACGCCUGGUAACCGCUCCAACAACUGUCUCAGCAUGCCCGCCAAACCAACCUCUAGAGCCUGGGCUCCUCCGGCUGCGGCACCCAUCACUCUUGGGCCCUCAGCACCAACGACAUGCACACCGAUACUGACACCUGCUCCACCAGCCCCCACUCCGGCUGCACCAGCUAUAUCGGCACCAAGACCGUCUCCAACCCCGGGCUCCACAAACUCAGGCUGCAAACCCACACUCUUCUCAAUAGUGGCAUUGUGGCCAUCACUCUCGCCGGUACCCUCGAGGACUCGUCCUCUACCGCGACCACGACCACGACCACGACCACGACCACGACCACGACCACGACCACGACCACGACCACGAACUCCAGUUCCUUUAACCAUCUGCGCUACUCAAGAACAAAUGGCUAAGAAACUAAAAUAAACGAAUAUAUCACAAACUACUUACCGUGAAAUCUCAUUUAAGGCUCAGAGAAGAUGAUGCUAGGACUCCAACAACACACAAUUGACUAAACACUCCGUAAUCAAUCCUCAGUAUGCUAACACCCUAGCUCAUCCCACAUCAAUCAUUGAAAAAUAAUUCAUCAAUUAAUUAUUCUACACAUCCUAUAACCGUGAUCGCUCUAAUACCAAAUUGAAACAACCCGACCCAUUUUUGUUUU
rnacentral:sRNA from 1 species